GCAGAUGUGCCCGAGUGGAUAAGGGGCUGGUCUUAGGAGUCAGUGCUUAGUGCAUCGUCGGUUCAAAUCCGACCAUCUGUA
rnacentral:tRNA from 1 species